CUUGUCUCAUUUAAUAUUCAGUAUAUUAUAUGAGUUGGAUAGCAUUAUGAUCAUUAGUUGGAUCAUUAUUAUGAUCAUAUCCUGUUUUUCAGAUGAAGAAGCUGGAACUGGGAAAAGUGAAGAAAUUGGCCAAGAUCAGUUAAAAGUGGAGGCAGUAUUUCAACACAGGUAGUCUGGCCCAGAGCCCAUCACUCAACCAGUGUGCCAUUGAUAUUCCAGCUUUCAAUUUACCUACAGUCUAAUAGUUGCCAUAAGACAACUAAGAGAUGAAUACAUUCCAGAUGACUGGGUUGGCCAGAGAAAAUUUCACAGAAGGCAGGUUUGAACUAAACCCUCAGAGGUGGAUAGAGAGGUCAAUGUGGAGAAUUCUGACAGCCUGAUAUUGAUUGGCCAGGGCACAGGAUCACUGCAGGGACAAAGCGAUUGGACCUGCUACACCCUCCCCACAUCCUUUGGGCCACCAGUGUUUCCUUGGGUCUCCAUGGGGUUAACUGAAAAGACUGAACCUACCCCUGGCCAUACCAGCCUAGUUACUGCUCUUUCUAUCCCAGCUUCACUUCUUGGAACUAGGUAGUUUAGUUUAACUCAGGGUGUGGCAGUGGAAAGCCAUACCACAUUCUCCAAUUUAGCUUAACUAUGAGCAAAGCUAUCUUGAUUUUCCUCUGGCUUCUUGUCUGUUCUGAACUUGGAUGAAAAGAUGAGCAAUUGACACCCUCAAAAUUUCAACAAUGGGAAAGUAAUAGAAAAUUCAAUUUAAAAGGCAAAUUAGACAUGGCAGACCAAGGAGAUCAAUAAAGGGUGGUAUAAGAAAUUUAUCCAAAGCCUACAAAAAUCAUUUUAUAAUUCUCUGUGCAAGUACACAUACCAUGUUUCUCCAUAUAGGAAAACAUUCUGGGAUUUGUUUCCAAAUUAAUCUUUAGAAAUAUAAUGUCCCAAAAUCCCCCUUUUUUUGUACCAGAGUCUGAACCCACAGCUGCCUAACCACUGGGCCACAUCUGUAGCCAUUUUUAUAUUUUACUUAGAGACAGGGUCUCACUAAAUUGUUUAGGUUCAAUCCUUAGCACCACAUAAAAAACGAAAUCCCCAUUUUUAUACAAAGAAAUUUGCCAAGAACCGUAAGUCUUUUUUUUUUUUUUUUUGGUACUGCAGAUUGAACC
rnacentral:lncRNA from 1 species